rnacentral:rRNA from 1 species
UACGUAGGCAGCAAGCGUUGUUCGGAGUUACUGGGCGUAAAGGGUGCGUAGGCGGUCCUAUAAGUAUGGUGUGAAAUCUCCCGGCUUAACUGGGAGGGUGCGCUAUAGACUGUGGGACUAGAGUGUGGGAGAGGAAAGUGGAAUUCCUGGUGUAGCGGUGAAAUGCGUAGAUAUCAGGAGGAACACCGGUGGUGUAAACGGCUGUCUGGACCAUAACUGACGCUGAGGCACGAAAGCGUGGGUAGCAAACAGG